rnacentral:tRNA from 1 species
GGCGGGCAAGAGUGGUUUAAGGCGAAGCUCUGCAAAAGCUUUAUUCGUCGGUUCGAAUCCGACCGGCGCCUCAA